rnacentral:tRNA from 1 species
GGCCCCAUCGUCUAGUGGCCUAGGACACGACCCUCUCAAGGUCGAGACACGGGUUCGAAUCCCGUUGGGGCUG